GAUGAACGCUGGCGGCGUGCCUAAUACAUGCAAGUCGAGCGAACGGACGAGAAGCUUGCUUCUCUGAUGUUAGCGGCGGACGGGUGAGUAACACGUGGAUAACCUACCUAUAAGACUGGGAUAACUUCGGGAAACCGUAGCUAAUACCGGAUAAUAUUUUGAACCGCAUGGUUCAAAAGUGAAAGACGGUCUUGCUGUCACUUAUAGAUGGAUCCGCGCUGCAUUAGCUAGUUGGUAAGGUAACGGCUUACCAAGGCAACGAUGCAUAGCCGACCUGAGAGGGUGAUCGGCCACACUGGAACUGAGACACGGUCCAGACUCCUACGGGAGGCAGCAGUAGGGAAUCUUCCGCAGUGGGCGAAAGCCUGACGGAGCAACGCCGCGUGAGUGAUGAAGGUCUUCGGAUCGUAAAACUCUGUUAUUGGGGAAGAACAUAUGUGUAAGUAACUGUGCACAUCUUGACGGUACCUAAUCAGAAAGCCACGGCUAACUACGU
rnacentral:rRNA from 1 species